CUCUUCAGAAUGAGACAAAACAUAUAGUCUUACCGAUAAUUCGAGAAUUUGAUACUUCACUUCUAAUGUCUCAUCAGCAAAAGUUUUAACAGCAAUGCGUAGCACAUCAGGGACUAGUCGCGGUAUGAUUAGUAUAUGCUCCGAAAUAAGCCAUAGUGUAACGGAUUUGGCCCGCGGUACUUCCAAAGUUUCAUACGUUGCAGCUAAAUACUGCAGAUAUAUUUCUUUAGGAUCAUUAUGAAUGAGAAGCCGAAGUGAAGAGGCAGCUUCUGUCACGAUAAGGCUAUUAUGUGAUUUAAGUAACAGCAAUAAAGUGUUAAGACAAGAGGGGGCCAUAGAAAUGUUAGCACUAGCAAAAUCACCCAAUGCCUUUACCGCCGUUGAUGCAACAGAAGGAUUCGGAUGACUGUUAAUGUAAUACAAUAAUUCGGGAAGGAUUUGCGAUGAAUUUUGAGCAUCCAAUAAACGCGACAAUAUGUUGAUUUUUAAAAGGCACGUAUCGUCACUGUCAGAAGCAAUUAGAAAGAAACUCUUUAUAUGGUUUUUAAAUAAUUCCUAAUAUCAUGUUA